AUUUUGUGGUUGAAGAAGACGAGGAAGGAGGGCGGGAUGAGGGAGGGAGGAGAGCAGAGACGGGGGUAGAAGCAGGUCUGCUAGGGCGGGGUUUCCCUCUUAUUUCAAGUCUGCACACUGGAGAGGAGCGAACCGGGAGAAGGACGGAACAGCCUCAGCUGCGUGGAAACGUCGCCGGAGUCUUUGCAUUUUUCUUUUCGGUAUUUAAAAAAAAAUUUUGCACUGUUUUCUUCUCGCCUGUUCAAAAACCACGUACUGGCUGAGGUAGUAGUUUGUGCUGUUGGUUGGGUUGUGACACUGCCCGCUAUGGAGAUGACUGCGCAAGCUACUGCCUUGCUAGUGCUGGUGCCUCCGCUCCAGCCGAAGGAGAAAUCCUCCCUCAUCGGUCCCCGACGCUCUUUUACGGGUAUUCGCAGCGGCAGCAGCUCGGGCGGACUGUAGAAAAGCAUGUAGGUCAACAGGACUGUUGCUAUGAGCAGAAGGGUGACGUGGCUCCUGCUGCCCACAGAGGUGUCCUACAAUACAUCUGCUCUGAUACGCACAGCCUGGCUCCGCGGCUUCGUGGCUCCGUGUCCUUUGUUAAUGCCGCUGCUGCAUACCAUCGGAUGCUCCUCCUGCACUUGAACGCUUCUUUUUACGCAGCGCGCGGACCAUCAGUCUGCGCGCACUCAUCAUCUGCUUAUCAUGCUAAAUGUGCUGCUGCUUCUUCUUCUUAUGUGUGUGUGUGUCUGUGUCCACAAACACAUGACCUGACCCCCCUAACAGGCGUGUGGAGCAGCGGUGUCCUCCUCCUCCUCCUCUCAGAGCUGAUGUCGGUCAUGCGUUUGUGAGUUAACCUUUUGAAAGCGUCCCUCGGCUGCCCGGCAGCAUCUGGCUGCUCUGGAGCGCAUUAAGGAUGGAGCCGUCAGGGGGUCUCGUGAUGGGGGGGUGGCGACCAGAAUAUACAAUGAGCUUUGAUUGGCUGGCAGCACUGAGUCGAUGAGAUCGUGCAGGGGGGCUGCAGCAGCAGUCCUGCCCCACAGCCCUGGCUCCGAGCAGGCAGCUCACUCACUCCCUGACUGAAGAUUGAAUCCUGCUUUGACCUUCCAAGAAGGCUCCCAUGAAAUAUUUAUGAGUUCACACUUGAUAGUGUGUUAUGAUGGAGUUAUGUUCAUCCUGGGCCACAGUUCUGCCCACUAGCAUCUGUGCUGAGAUUACACAAUACAUUCUACUCCUGCUACUCAUCAUAGGUUGCAAAGAAAGAGUGUCUUUCCUUUGCAAAAGAAAAAAAAAGCAGCUAGUAAAUAAACCGCUGAUUGUUGUCAUUCCUAUUGAGCAGAGCAGCUCCUACAGGUCUGCAUUAUAUUCAAAUCAGUGUCUGUCCAGUGUAAGAAAUACAAGUAAUCCGGCCUCACGGGCAAAGCCAAACAUCGUUUAUCAUAUCCUGACUGUAAGGAGAGCCAGCCUAUGGAUCAGUGAGCAGCGCACCGGCAGCCCACACUGUCCUCCCAUCCAUCUUGUGUCGAAGCUCUCAUUUGCAGAUAAAUCAUACUUGAGGCAGCCGAAGCCCCGGAGCAGUAAAUUAGAGCCUCUUGUGGAAAAUCUGCCCCUUCAGAUGGGUAUCACAGCUGCACCAUUGUCCUGACAGGACAGUCGACCCGCAUGUGUGCGUUCUGUCGUCAAGUAGCUUCACACAACGCUGCCAAAGCUUCCCUUUUGUUUAUCUGACUCUGAAUAGUUCAAAUGUAAAAACACAGAAAUGCAGCCAGUUCUCACAUUUAACAUCCAAACCCAAUCAAAUGUUUGGGACUGUUACUUAAGAAACAACUCAAUAAAUUUGUCAAACUGCUGCUGAUUCAUAUUUGUUUAAAGCAACCUGCCAGUAAUAGCUAUACUUGUAAAUGUUAUUUUUUUUUCAGAAUUUCACUACUAAUUGACUGAGCAGUCUGAAAAUAAUUAACACCAACAAGCACAGUAGAAAUAAUUAACAAGAAAUUAUUUGGCAACUGUUUUGAAAAUUGAUUAAUCAUUUUAGUCAUUUGUUUUUUUUUCCCAGCAAACACUUUUAUUUCUUCACAUGUGAGGAUUUGCUGUUUCUAUUUUAUGUCUGGCAUUAUAUAAAUGUAAUAUCCUUUGGUUUUGGAUCACUAAUGAACAGUUUCACUCAUUUAUUUAUUUUUGCAUGGCAUAGAUUUGAACGCCAGGAAUGAAACCUAUGUAAAAAGUAAUAUCUAAGAAAAAGCAACGUUUGUCCUCCUCUGAAAGGAGGCUUCAAGGCUGUGGCCUCGGUUAUCCCAUGUUGCAUUGCAGCGAAGUGCCGCGCCACCUUUCCAUUACAAGAGAUGAGUAUCUCGGUCCAAGCCUGCUCAGCAUCUCCCUCAGAUCUAUCCAUGGGUGGGGUGGGAGUGCUGUGACCUUGGAAAAACAAGCCACCCACAGGAAUGAUUGUUUCAUCAUUGCCGUCAUCCAAUCUGGACCACACACACACACACACACACACACACACACACACACACAUGCGUGUGGAGAGUGGGAGUGGAGUGCCAGAUCAGUGCUGGCCUGCCUGAAGGAGGAUGCGACGCUGGCCUGUGGGGACCAGAUGGCCCUGCAGCUCCUGCAGAGGACCCAGAAGUGUGAGGCUCCUACGACAGCACUUUAUCAUCCUCUAAAUGUGUGUUAAAGCGUUCACAAAGGUAGACAUGUAUGUAAUGCUCAAAUCUCCUCGCCUUUCCGUUUGCAAUGGACAACAUUAAUGAUAAAAAUGAUUAAAAAUGUUGUGAUGGAUAAACCUU